GACGAACGCUGGCGGCGUGCUUAACACAUGCAAGUCGAACGAUGAUCAGGAGCUUGCUCCUGUGCUUAGUGGCGAACGGGUGAGUAACACGUGAGUAACCUGCCCCUGACGCUGGGAUAAGCGUUGGAAACGACGUCUAAUACUGGAUAUGAUCACUGGCCGCACGGUCUGGUGGUGGAAAGAUUGUUUGGUUGGGGAUGGACUCGCGGCCUAUCAGCUUGUUGGUGAGGUAAUGGCUCACCAAGGCGACGACGGGUAGCCGGCCUGAGAGGGUGACCGGCCACACUGGGACUGAGACACGGCCCAGACUCCUACGGGAGGCAGCAGUGGGGAAUAUUGCACAAUGGGCGAAAGCCUGAUGCAGCAACGCCGCGUGAGGGAUGACGGCCUUCGGGUUGUAAACCUCUUUUAGUAGGGAAGAAGCGAAAGUGACGGUACCUGCAGAAAAAGCACCGGCUAACUACGUG
rnacentral:rRNA from 1 species